UGGUGAACUGAAUACAGCAUCAUCACUUGAGGAAUAUGCCAAGGUAAACCGCGAUGAUGACGAAGAUGAUGAUGAUGAAGAAGAUGAAGGUCAAGUUAUUUGAGAUGCACAAUUUGGAGAAUAACCAUAUGGCCCUUUAUAGAUCUCCCUUCAUGGUCCAUAGUUUGAUGCACACUAGCUCAUUUGUAUUGGCAGCUUUGGAGAAAAGUAAUUUAUUGGGCAAAAUUGAUACAGGCUGUUUGGUUUGCCUCCCCUUCUACAGUAAAGGACUAAGAGUGAGAUCAACACACUAUUCCAUUCCUUUUCCAUUUCAUAUUUUCCUAGCUAGUGAAGAGUUCUGAGAGUGUAAUAUAGAGUAAGAUAGAUUCUUAAGCCAUUUUUUAAUGUAAUUCAGCUAAAAAGACAGCCUGCUAGUUGCUUCAUAAUGUGAUGUAGGAGCAUUGAUGUUUUGUUGGUCAAUUUACUCAAAUAGUAACUGGUCUUUGGUUUUUUGGAACUUUAUGGCCCAUCAAAUUAUCUCAAGAAUAAAUUGGCUGGCUGGGCGUUUGCAACUCCAAUAUUUGUG
rnacentral:misc_RNA from 1 species